ACGGAGGGUGCGAGCGUUGUUCGGAAUUAUUGGGCGUAAAGCGCGUGCAGGCGGUCUUUUAAGUCUGAUGUGAAAGCCCCGGGCUCAACCUGGGAAGGGCAUUGGAAACUGGGAGACUUGAAUACGGGAGAGGGUAGUGGAAUGCCUAGUGUAGGAGUGAAAUCCGUAGAUACUAGGAGGAACACCGGUGGCGAAGGCGGCUCCCUGGACCGAUAUCGACGCUGAGACGCGAAAGCGUGGGGAGCAAACAG
rnacentral:rRNA from 1 species